rnacentral:rRNA from 1 species
CCCUGCCAUUUGUACACACCGCCCGUCGCACCUACCGAUUGAAUGGUCCGGUGAAGCCUUCGGAUCGUUGCUGUGCCCCUCACGGAGCCAGCAGCGAAAAGUUGGCUAAACCUUACCAUUUAGAGGAAGGUGAAGUCGUAACAAGGUUUCCGU